rnacentral:rRNA from 1 species
UACGUAGGGUGCGAGCGUUGUCCGGAUUUACUGGGCGUAAAGGGCGCGUAGGCGGCCACGACAAGUCACUUGUGAAAUCUCCGGGCUUAACUCGGAACGGUCAAGUGAUACUGUCGGGCUAGAGUACAGAAGGGGCAACUGGAAUUCUCGGUGUAGCGGUGAAAUGCGCAGAUAUCGAGAGGAACACCUGCGGCGAAGGCGGGUUGCUGGGCUGAUACUGACGCUGAUGCGCGAAAGCCAGGGGAGCGAACGGG